rnacentral:rRNA from 1 species
CCUACGGGUGGCAGCAGUGGGGGAUAUUGCACAAUGGGGGAAACCCUGAUGCAGCGACGCCGCGUGGGUGAAGAAGUAUUUCGGUAUGUAAAGCCCUAUCAGCAGGGAAGAAAGAAGACGGUACCUGACUAAGAAGCCCCGGCUAACUACGUGCCAGCAGCCGCGGUAAUACGUAGGGGGCGAGCGUUAUCCGGAUUCACUGGGUGUAAAGGGAGCGUAGACGGCCGUGCAAGCCAGGGGUGAAAGCCCGGGGCACAACCCAGGGACUGCUCUUGGAACUGUGCGGCUGGAGUGCGGGAGGGGCAGGCGGAAUUCCUGGUGUAGCGGUGAAAUGCGUAGAUAUCAGGAGGAACACCGGCGGCGAAGGCGGCCUGCUGGACCGCGACUGACGUUGAGGCUCGAAAGCGUGGGGAGCGAACAGGAUUAGAUACCCCAGUAGUC